rnacentral:rRNA from 1 species
GACAGAGGUGCCAAGCGUUAGGCGGAAUCACUGGGCUUAAAGCGUGUGUAGGCGGAUUCCUAAGUACCUUGUGAAAUCCCACGGCUCAACCGUGGAACUGCUCGGUAUACUGGGCAUCUUGAGCCACUUAGGGGCGACCGGAACAAAUGGUGGAGCGGUGAAAUGCGCAGAUAUCAUUUGGAACGCCAAUGGUGAAAACAGGUCGCUGGGAGUGUGCUGACGCUGAGGCGCGAAAGCCAGGGGAGCAAACGGG